rnacentral:antisense_RNA from 1 species
CCUCUCAUGACUUAGGUAUCUUAGACAAUCCCAACAUAAAGAACCUUGAAUACUAGAAGCAAAGCACUAAUACCUAACAAGAUUAAGUGAAUACCCAAAAUUUGACGGUGUCUGAGGCUUCUUGAAAAACGUGAUAUCUCACA